ACACUAGAUGUCAUCUGUGACUAUUAUUUACCGUUUUUUUUCUUUUUCUUUAAAUAAUUAGUGCGAUAAUUAAAUUUGUUUUUAAGUUGUUUUUGAUUAUUUAACUUGGGUUACUUUUUGAUCUGUGUUGCCAAUUGAUUCUAAAUCAAUGGUUGAAGCCAACUUUAACCUGGUUCAUCGUGGUCAACAUCCUAAUCAACCACAUUAUGGAUAUUAAAGUGGGUGCAAUUUUGUCUACACUCUUUAGUGUAAAACAACUGCAGCAACAACCUCACCAACCAAGCAUCUUUAACUUUAACCCAAAGGAAACUAACAAUAGAGGCGAAGGCGAAAGCGAGGAGGAAGAAGAAGAAGGUGAAGGUGAAAGGAAAACAAGGCAAAGAAUUGAAUAAACUUGUGGUGAACAAAACUCAAUCAACUGCAGCAACAUCAUCACCAUAAACCAUCUUCAAAGCCAUCAUCAUCACCAUUGGAACAGCAAACAAAAACACACUUUUCCCCUCCUCAUGCACACAUAUACGAAUCAAUGUCAUCACCAUCAUUCAGACUUAAUUUUUUGUUCCCAUUUUAUUUAACACACUUGAAACCAUCAAAUGAAGUAACAAACACGUCUAUUUAUUUAUUUACUUAAUUUGUAUUUAAUUACUUGUCAUCAAUAUUUACUUAUACAAAAUGUGCGAUUCAGUGAGCAAGUUAUUCAGUGUGUUUCUGUGUAUGUGUGUCUGUAUGGCGUUAUGCGAUCAACAAGCAGCAAAAAAUAUGAAACAUUUUGUAAUAACCAGUUAAGAGUUAAUAACAUUUGAGGUUUACCUUAUUUUCAUGUCAAAAACAUUCACCAUUAUUAUAAUUUUCGCCUUUCUCAUGCUCUUUCUUUUUCUGUUUGCAUUCAUGAUAAUAACCUUGAAUACAGAAGCUCAGGAAAAUAGCAAUGAAAAAGAGUUUACGGCUUUUUUUCGUCUAAUCUUUUUCUUCCUUUUGGCAGACGCAUUUGACAAAAAAAAACCACAGAGCUGUUUGUCUGUAAGAUGCUGGGUGAUGUUGUUGUUUUGGUGCACAAGGACAACUUUAUUUGUAUUGAUUAUUUAACAGUUAAACAAGCUUUUUCCUCUUUUUUGCUUCACUUUGUAGUUCAUAAUUUUUUUUUCAAAGUCAACAAACUUUCACUUGAAGAGCGAGUUAAGUCAAUCAGUGAGUUACUUUGCCUCCUUUGGAUUACUUCCAAUCCUUUUACUUCAAGGCAAACCAUGUUGAUUGUUGAUGAUAAUGAUGAUAAUGAUGGGUGUGAGAGAGAGAGGAAAGGGAGAAGAGCAACUUUUUGGCCUCUCAAAAUAGCUUCAUGUGUGUAUGUGUUUAUACAUUGAGCUAUUCCGUUGUGUUCCGUGUAUACUUCUGGAUGUGUAUUUUGAAGAUAACAGUUAUGUAGAUGGUGUACAAUAUGCUGUACUUUCAAGUGCAGUUGAUUUCUGAAUGAUUAGUGAAGAGAGGAUGAAGAUGAUGGUGAUGAUGAUGGAGGAGGAGGGAGAGAGAGAGUGAGUGUCAACUUGAUGUUACAAAGUUAGUUUUUCAGAAGAAGCAAGAAAAGGAAAAGGAAAUGCAUCUUAACUGUGUCCUUGGAUUUCAAUCAAAGAAGGGGCAAGAAAAUGCAUUUACUGAGAGGAUUGUUUCAAAAAUUGUUGUUGUUUCGUCUUGAUAAUCAUCCAAGGGACUGUUGUUAUUACUGUUGUUUUUGCUUCUCUCCGUUUUUGUGGGAACCAUUUUUUUUGGCCACAAACAAAAAUUUUAAGCAAAAAAAAAGAAUCAACUUUUCCUCUCUUUUCCUUCUCUCUCUCAUCAACAACGUGCAUGGGAAAAGGAAGGGUUGUGAAGAGAGAGAAAAGUGCAUUGAACGUUACCUGUACCCUUUGGUCAGUUAGUGCUGGUCACUUGAUCAGAGGUUAAGGGGCACAGAGGCUCAUUGAAGUAUGCUUAAAGGGAAAACACGUUGCAAAGACCAACCAACCUUAUUUGGUGAAUAGAGUAAAAAAGGGCUUGGAUAAUGGCGAAAAGAGGUUUUUUUACUCGUUGGAAUUUUUUCUCUCUUCUCUUCUUCUUCUCUCUCACUCUUCGUUA